rnacentral:rRNA from 1 species
AUUGAACGCUGGCGGCAGGCCUAACACAUGCAAGUCGAACGAGUGGCGGACGGGUGAGUAAUGUCUGGGAAACUGCCCGAUGGAGGGGGAUAACUACUGGAAACGGUAGCUAAUACCGCAUACCAUCGGAUGUGCCCAGAUGGGAUUAGCUAGUAGGUGGGGUAAAGGCUCACUUAGGCGACGCUCCCUAGCUGGGCUGAGAGGAUGACCAGCCACACUGGAACUGAGACACGGUCCAGACGCCUACGGGAGGCAGCAGUGGGGAAUAUUGCACAAGGUGCGCAAGCUGGAUGCAGCAAUGCCGCGUGUAUUAAGAAGGCCUUCGGGUUGUAAAGUACGUUCAGCGGGGAGGCGUUACCCGCAGAAGAAGCACCGGCUAACUACGUGCCAGCAGCCGCGGUAAUAC